rnacentral:rRNA from 1 species
UAAGCGACUAAGCGUACACGGUGGAUGCCCUGGCAGUCAGAGGCGAUGAAGGACGUGCUAAUCUGCGAUAAGCGUCGGUAAGGUGAUAUGAACCGUUAUAACCGGCGAUUUCCGAAUGGGGAAACCCAGUGUGUUUCGACACACUAUCAUUAACUGAAUCCAUAGGUUAAUGAGGCGAACCGGGGAACUGAAACAUCUAAGUACCCCGAGGAAAAGAAAUCAACCGAGAUUCCCCCAGUAGCGGCGAGCGAACGGGGAGCAGCCCAGAGCCUGAAUCAGUGUGUGUGUUAGUGGAAGCGUCUGGAAAGGCGCGCGAUACAGGGUGACAGCCCCGUACACAAAAAUGCACAUGCUGUGAGCUCGAUGAGUAGGGCGGGACACGUGGUAUCCUGUCUGAAUAGUGGGGGGACCAUCCUCCAAGGCUAAAUACUCCUGACUGACCGAUAGUGAACCAGUACCGUGAGGGAAAGGCGAAAAGAACCCCGGCGAGGGGAGUGAAAAAGAACCUGAAACCGUGUACGUACAAGCAGUGGGAGCCUCUUUUAUGGGGUGACUGCGUACCUUUUGUAUAAUGGGUCAGCGACUUAUAUUCUGUAGCAAGGUUAACCGAAUAGGGGAGCCGAAGGGAAACCGAGUCUUAACCGGGCGUUAAGUUGCAGGGUAUAGACCCGAAACCCGGUGAUCUAGCCAUGGGCAGGUUGAAGGUUGGGUAACACUAACUGGAGGACCGAACCGACUAAUGUUGAAAAAUUAGCGGAUGACUUGUGGCUGGGGGUGAAAGGCCAAUCAAACCGGGAGAUAGCUGGUUCUCCCCGAAAGCUAUUUAGGUAGCGCCUCGUGAAUUCAUCUCCGGGGGUAGAGCACUGUUUCGGCAAGGGGGUCAUCCCGACUUACCAACCCGAUGCAAACUGCGAAUACCGGAGAAUGUUAUCACGGGAGACACACGGCGGGUGCUAACGUCCGUCGUGAAGAGGGAAACAACCCAGACCGCCAGCUAAGGUCCCAAAGUCAUGGUUAAGUGGGAAACGAUGUGGGAAGGCCCAGACAGCCAGGAUGUUGGCUUAGAAGCAGCCAUCAUUUAAAGAAAGCGUAAUAGCUCACUGGUCGAGUCGGCCUGCGCGGAAGAUGUAACGGGGCUAAACCAUGCACCGAAGCUGCGGCAGCGACACUGUGUGUUGUUGGGUAGGGGAGCGUUCUGUAAGCCUGUGAAGGUGUACUGUGAGGUAUGCUGGAGGUAUCAGAAGUGCGAAUGCUGACAUAAGUAACGAUAAAGCGGGUGAAAAGCCCGCUCGCCGGAAGACCAAGGGUUCCUGUCCAACGUUAAUCGGGGCAGGGUGAGUCGACCCCUAAGGCGAGGCCGAAAGGCGUAGUCGAUGGGAAACAGGUUAAUAUUCCUGUACUUGGUGUUACUGCGAAGGGGGGACGGAGAAGGCUAUGUUGGCCGGGCGACGGUUGUCCCGGUUUAAGCGUGUAGGCUGGUUUUCCAGGCAAAUCCGGAAAAUCAAGGCUGAGGCGUGAUGACGAGGCACUACGGUGCUGAAGCAACAAAUGCCCUGCUUCCAGGAAAAGCCUCUAAGCAUCAGGUAACAUCAAAUCGUACCCCAAACCGACACAGGUGGUCAGGUAGAGAAUACCAAGGCGCUUGAGAGAACUCGGGUGAAGGAACUAGGCAAAAUGGUGCCGUAACUUCGGGAGAAGGCACGCUGAUAUGUAGGUGAAGUCCCUCGCGGAUGGAGCUGAAAUCAGUCGAAGAUACCAGCUGGCUGCAACUGUUUAUUAAAAACACAGCACUGUGCAAACACGAAAGUGGACGUAUACGGUGUGACGCCUGCCCGGUGCCGGAAGGUUAAUUGAUGGGGUCAGCGCAAGCGAAGCUCUUGAUCGAAGCCCCGGUAAACGGCGGCCGUAACUAUAACGGUCCUAAGGUAGCGAAAUUCCUUGUCGGGUAAGUUCCGACCUGCACGAAUGGCGUAAUGAUGGCCAGGCUGUCUCCACCCGAGACUCAGUGAAAUUGAACUCGCUGUGAAGAUGCAGUGUACCCGCGGCAAGACGGAAAGACCCCGUGAACCUUUACUAUAGCUUGACACUGAACAUUGAGCCUUGAUGUGUAGGAUAGGUGGGAGGCUUUGAAGUGUGGACGCCAGUCUGCAUGGAGCCGACCUUGAAAUACCACCCUUUAAUGUUUGAUGUUCUAACGUGGACCCGUGAUCCGGGUUGCGGACAGUGUCUGGUGGGUAGUUUGACUGGGGCGGUCUCCUCCUAAAGAGUAACGGAGGAGCACGAAGGUUGGCUAAUCCUGGUCGGACAUCAGGAGGUUAGUGCAAUGGCAUAAGCCAGCUUGACUGCGAGCGUGACGGCGCGAGCAGGUGCGAAAGCAGGUCAUAGUGAUCCGGUGGUUCUGAAUGGAAGGGCCAUCGCUCAACGGAUAAAAGGUACUCCGGGGAUAACAGGCUGAUACCGCCCAAGAGUUCAUAUCGACGGCGGUGUUUGGCACCUCGAUGUCGGCUCAUCACAUCCUGGGGCUGAAGUAGGUCCCAAGGGUAUGGCUGUUCGCCAUUUAAAGUGGUACGCGAGCUGGGUUUAGAACGUCGUGAGACAGUUCGGUCCCUAUCUGCCGUGGGCGCUGGAGAACUGAGGGGGGCUGCUCCUAGUACGAGAGGACCGGAGUGGACGCAUCACUGGUGUUCGGGUUGUCAUGCCAAUGGCACUGCCCGGUAGCUAAAUGCGGAAGAGAUAAGUGCUGAAAGCAUCUAAGCACGAAACUUGCCCCGAGAUGAGUUCUCCCUGACCCUUUAAGGGUCCUGAAGGAACGUUGAAGACGACGACGUUGAUAGGCCGGGUGUGUAAGCGCAGCGAUGCGUUGAGCUAACCGGUACUAAUGAACCGUGAGGCUUAACCU